AAAACCUGAUUCAGAUCCAUCGAAGCUUAAAUCAAAGAAGAUCUCUCUCUCAACCCUCUACACCCGUGAUUUCACUCUCUCUUGCUUCAAACCCUUUCGUUUCUCUCGAUUCAAACCCCUUCAUUUAGUAAUCGAUUAAUCUGCAACCCUUCUCUUCAAGUAUUCGAUUCACCUCUUCGUUUAUUCGAUUGAAGUAUUCAUAGAUCAUCGAUUCGCAGAUCAGUCUUAUCUCUAUCUCUAGUUCAUGUUCGAGUUCGCAGGUCUUUCUUCAUGGUUUGCUAGGUUUUAUCUAGAUCAGAUCGAUCGAUUGAAGAUCUAUUGAUCGAUUGAACGUGAUUUCGAAGUUCAACCUUCUUCAGCUCGGUGAUUCAAUCUCAGAUUCGUUCAGCGAGGAAAGUGAGCACCAUCAUCUACCAAGAUUCAGCACAACGACGGAUUCAAUUGGGGGUAGCCAAGAAGAUAAAGAAGUGGGCACGC